GACGAACGCUGGCGGCGUGCCUAAUACAUGCAAGUCGAACGAACUCUGGUAUUGAUUGGUGCUUGCAUCAUGAUUUACAUUUGAGUGAGUGGCGAACUGGUGAGUAACACGUGGGAAACCUGCCCAGAAGCGGGGGAUAACACCUGGAAACAGAUGCUAAUACCGCAUAACAACUUGGACCGCAUGGUCCGAGCUUGAAAGAUGGCUUCGGCUAUCACUUUUGGAUGGUCCCGCGGCGUAUUAGCUAGAUGGUGGGGUAACGGCUCACCAUGGCAAUGAUACGUAGCCGACCUGAGAGGGUAAUCGGCCACAUUGGGACUGAGACACGGCCCAAACUCCUACGGGAGGCAGCAGUAGGGAAUCUUCCACAAUGGACGAAAGUCUGAUGGAGCAACGCCGCGUGAGUGAAGAAGGGUUUCGGCUCGUAAAACUCUGUUGUUAAAGAAGAACAUAUCUGAGAGUAACUGUUCAGGUAUUGACGGUAUUUAACCAGAAAGCCACGGCUAACUACGUGCCAGCAGCCGCGGUAAUACGUAGGUGGCAAGCGUUGUCCGGAUUUAUUGGGCGUAAAGCGAGCGCAGGCGGUUUUUUAAGUCUGAUGUGAAAGCCUUCGGCUCAACCGAAGAAGUGCAUCGGAAACUGGGAAACUUGAGUGCAGAAGAGGACAGUGGAACUCCAUGUGUAGCGGGUGAAACUGCGUAGAUAUAUGGAAGAACACCAUGUGGCGAAGGCCGCCUUUUCUGGUUCUGUAACUGACGUUGAGCUUGAAAGUAUGGGUAGCAAACCAGGAUUAGAUACCCUGGUAGUCCAUACGGUAAACGAUGAAUGCUAAGUGUUGGAGGGUUUCCGCCCUUCAGUGCUGCAGCUAACGCAUUAAGCAUUCCGCCUGGGGAGUACGGCCGCAAGGCUGAAACUCAAAGGAAUUGACGGGGGCCCGCACAAGCGGUGGAGCAUGUGGUUUAAUUCGAAGCUACGCGAAGAACCUUACCAGGUCUUGACAUACUAUGCAAAUCUAAGAGAUUAGACGUUCCCUUCGGGGACAUGGAUACAGGUGGUGCAUGGUUGUCGUCAGCUCGUGUCGUGAGAUGUUGGGUUAAGUCCCGCAACGAGCGCAACCCUUAUUAUCAGUUGCCAGCAUUAAGUUGGGCACUCUGGUGAGACUGCCGGUGACAAACCGGAGGAAGGUGGGGAUGACGUCAAAUCAUCAUGCCCCUUAUGACCUGGGCUACACACGUGCUACAAUGGAUGGUACAACGAGUUGCGAACUCGCGAGAGUAAGCUAAUCUCUUAAAGCCAUUCUCAGUUCGGAUUGUAGGCUGCAACUCGCCUACAUGAAGUCGGAAUCGCUAGUAAUCGCGGAUCAGCAUGCCGCGGUGAAUACGUUCCCGGGCCUUGUACACACCGCCCGUCACACCAUGAGAGUUUGUAACACCCAAAGUCGGUGGGGUAACCUUUUAGGAACCAGCCGCCUAAGGUGGGACAGAUGAUUAGGGUGAAGUCGUAACAAGGUA
rnacentral:rRNA from 1 species